rnacentral:rRNA from 1 species
GACGAACGCUGGCGGCGUGCCUAAUACAUUCACGUCGAGCGAAGCUGCUGAUGGGUGAGUAACGCGUGGGUAACCUGCCCUUAAGUCUGGGAUACCAUUUGUAAACAUAUGCUAAUACCGGAUACUAAAGGAUGGACCUGCGAUGCAUUAGCUAGUUGGUAAGGUAACGGCUUACCACGGCGAUGAUGCAUAGCCGAGUUGAGAGAAGGAUCGGCCACAGUGGGAAUGAGAGACGGUCCAGACUCCUACGGGAGGCAGCAGUGGGGAAUAUUGCACAAUGGGCGCAAGCCUGAUGCAGCCAGGCCGCGUGUAUGAAGAAGGCCUUCGGGUUGUAAAGUACUUUCAGCGAGGAGGCGUUACUCGCAGAAGAAGCAUCGGCUAACUCCGUGCCAGCAGCCGCGGUAAUUC